rnacentral:rRNA from 1 species
AUACGUAGGGUGCAAGCGUUAAUCGGAAUUACUGGGCGUAAAGCGUGCGCAGGCGGUUUUGUAAGACAGAGGUGAAAUCCCCGGGCUCAACCUGGGAACUGCCUUUGUGACUGCAAGGCUAGAGUACGGCAGAGGGGGAUGGAAUUCCGCGUGUAGCCGUGAAAUGCGUAGAUAUGCGGGGGAAAUCCGAUGGAGAAGGCAAUCCCCUGGGCUUGGACUGACGCUCAUGCAAGAAAGCGUGGGGAGCAAAGAGGAUUAGAUUCCCUUGGAGUCCGCGCCCUAAACGAUGUCAACUGGGUGUUGGGGCUUCAUUGACUCAGUAACGAAGCUAACGCGUGAAGUUGCCCGCCUGGGGAGUACGGCCGCAAGGUUGAAACUCAAAGGAAUUGACGGG